CACUAUUAUACAAGAAUUAGCAACAAAAUGUCCUUAAUUUCAAAACAAGUCCAUGUAACCAUUCCAAAAGCAACAAUAUUGACAAGUUAAAAAGUCAUUGGAACACAAAUAUGUAAAACACAUAACAAACGACAAGGCGCAUCCAUAUGAAGUUAAAAAGUCAUUGGAAAACUGCAAAUAUACAUGCCUGGCAUGGACGCGUCCAUGCCAAGUUAAAAAAGUCAUUCGAACACAAAGAUACAAUGGCAUGGACGUGUCCAUGCCAAAUUAAAAAAGUAAUUGGAACUAAAUAUAGAAUGGCAUGGAUCGGUCCAUGCCAUUGGAAACUUAUGUUCCAAUUACUUUUUUAACUUGGCGUGGACUCGUCCAUGCCAUUGAUGGCAAGGACGCGUCCACGCCAAAAUAAAAAAAUAAUUGGAACAUAUAUUUCCAAAGGCAUGCAUUGGACGGAUCCAUGCCAUUGUAUAUUUAUGUUCCAAUUACUUUUUUAAUUAAUUAACUUGUCCAUGCCAUUGAUGGCAUGGACGCGUCCACGCCAAGUUAAAAAAGUAAUUUGAACACAAAUAUACAAUGGCAUGGACACGUCCACGCCAAGUGAAAAAAGUAAUUGGAACAUAAAUCUCCAAUGGCAUGGCGAAUCCAUGCCAUUGUAUAUUUAUGUAUGGCAUGGACGCGCCCACACCACUUAAGUUAAAAAAGUAAUUUGAACACAAAUAUACAAUGGCAUGGACACGUCCACGCCAAGUUAAAAAAGUCAUUCGAGCACAAAUAUACAAUGGCAUGGACACGUCCACGCCAAGUUAAAAAAGUAAUUGGAACAUAAAUUUCCAAAUGGCAUGGACAAUUCUUGCCAUUGUAUAUUGAUGUUCCGAUUACUUUUUUAAUUAAUUAAUUAAUUAACUUGGCGUGGACUCGUCCAUGCCAUUGAUGGCAUGGACGGUUCCACGCCAAGUUAAAAAAGUCAUUCGAGCACAAAAAUACAAUGGCAUGGACACGUCCACGCCAAGCUAAAAAAGUAUUGGAACAUAAAUUUCCAAUGGCAUGACGAAUCCAUGCCAUUGUAUAUUUAUGUAUGGCAUGGACGCGUCCACGCCAAGUUAAAAAAGUCAUUCAAACACAAAUAUACAAUGGCAUGGACACGUCCACGCCAAGUUAAAAAAGUAAUUGGAACAUAAAUUUCCAAAUGGCAUGGACAAAUCCAUGCCAUUGUAUAUUGAUGUUCCGAUUACUUUUUUAAUUAAUUAAUUAACUUGGCGUCGACUCGUCCAUGCCAUCAAUGGCAUGGACGGUUCCACGCCAAGUUAAAAAAGUCAUUCGAGCACAAAAAUACAAUGGCAUGGACAUGUCCACGCCAAGCUAAAAAAGUAAUUGGAACAUAAAUUUCCAAUGGCAUGACGAAUCCAUGCCAUUGUGUAUUUAUGUAUGGCAUGGACGCGUCCACGCCAAGUUAAAAAAGUCAUUCGAACACAAAUAUACAAUGGCAUGGACACGUCCACGCCAAGUUAAAAAAGUAAUUGGAACAUAAAUUUCCAAUGGCAUGGACAAAUCCAUGCCAUUGAAUAUUGAUGUUCCGAUUACUUUUUUAAUUAAUUAAUUAAUUAAUUAACUUGGCGUGGACUCGUCCAUGCCAUUGAUGGCAUGGACGGUUCCACACCAAUUUUAAAAGUUCAUUGGAUGGCAUGGACACGUCCACGCCAAUUUUAAAAGUUCAUUGGAACAUAAAUAUACAAUGGCAUUGUUGGCAUGGCACGUCCAGGCCAAGUUAAAAAAGUCAUUCGAACACAAAUAUGGACCGUGCAUGCAAAACUUUAAGCCGGGUUUAGACCGUAGCAUAGUGAUUUGUUGCUUCAUCAACAUUCUUUCUUGCAUUCAUUCCUCUCACCAUUCUAACAAAAUGGGAAAGGUUUUCUGAUCACCAGGUCUAAAAAUAAGAUAAAUUAAUUUUAGUUUGUCUCUUGAUACAG
rnacentral:lncRNA from 1 species